rnacentral:rRNA from 1 species
GACGAACGCUGGCGGCGUGCUUAACACAUGCAAGUCGAACGGUGAAGCGCCUUCCUUUUUGGUGGGUGUGGAUGAGUGGCGAACGGGUGAGUAACACGUGAGUAACCUGCCCCCUUCUUCUGGAUAACCGCAUGAAAGUGUGGCUAAUACGGGAUAUUCUGGGUCUGUCGCAUGAUGGGUCUGGGAAAGAUAUUGUUUCGGUGGGGGAUGGGCUCGCGGCCCAUCAGCUUGUUGGUGGGGUGAUGGCCUACCAAGGCGGUGACGGGUAGCCGGCCUGAGAGGGUGGACGGUCGCACUGGGACUGAGACACGGCCCAGACUCCUACGGGAGGCAGCAGUGGGGAAUAUUGCACAAUGGGCGCAAGCCUGAUGCAGCGACGCCGCGUGAGGGAUGGAGGCCUUCGGGUUGUGAACCUCUUUCGCCAGUGAAGCAGGCCUGCCUCGUUUGUGGGUGGGUUGACGGUAGCUGGAGAAGAAGCGCCGGCUAACUACGUG